rnacentral:rRNA from 1 species
GAUGAACGCUGGCGGCGUGCCUAAUACAUGCAAGUCGAGCGAACGGAUAAGGAGCUUGCUCCUUUGAAGUUAGCGGCGGACGGGUGAGUAACACGUGGGUAACCUACCUAUAAGACUGGAAUAACUUCGGGAAACCGGAGCUAAUGCCGGAUAACAUUUGGAACUGCAUGGUUCUAAAGUAAAAGAUGGUUUUGCUAUCACUUAUAGAUGGACCCGCGCCGUAUUAGCUAGUUGGUAAGGUAACGGCUUACCAAGGCAACGAUACGUAGCCGACCGGAGAGGGUGAUCGGCCACACUGGAACUGAGACACGUUCCAGACUCCGACGGGAGGCAGCAGUAGGGAGUCUUCCGCAAUGGACGAAAGUCUGACGGAGCAACGCCGCGUGAGUGAUGAAGGUUUUCGGAUCAUAAAACUCUGUUAUUAGGGAAGAACAAAUGUGUAAGUAACUGUGCACAUCUUGACGGUACCUAAUCAGAAAGCCACGGCUAACUACGUGCCAGCCGCCGCCGUAA